rnacentral:rRNA from 2 species
GAUGAACGCUGGCGGCGUGCCUAAUACAUGCAAGUCGAACGAGUUCUCGUUGAUGAUCGGUGCUUGCACCGAGAUUCAACAUGGAACGAGUGGCGGACGGGUGAGUAACACGUGGGUAACCUGCCCUUAAGUGGGGGAUAACAUUUGGAAACAGAUGCUAAUACCGCAUAGAUCCAAGAACCGCAUGGUUCUUGGCUGAAAGAUGGCGUAAGCUAUCGCUUUUGGAUGGACCCGCGGCGUAUUAGCUAGUUGGUGAGGUAAUGGCUCACCAAGGCGAUGAUACGUAGCCGAACUGAGAGGUUGAUCGGCCACAUUGGGACUGAGACACGGCCCAAACUCCUACGGGAGGCAGCAGUAGGGAAUCUUCCACAAUGGACGCAAGUCUGAUGGAGCAACGCCGCGUGAGUGAAGAAGGCUUUCGGGUCGUAAAACUCUGUUGUUGGAGAAGAAUGGUCGGCAGAGUAACUGUUGUCGGCGUGACGGUAUCCAACCAGAAAGCCACGGCUAACUACGUGCCAGCAGCCGCGGUAAUACGUAGGUGGCAAGCGUUAUCCGGAUUUAUUGGGCGUAAAGCGAGCGCAGGCGGUUUUUUAAGUCUGAUGUGAAAGCCCUCGGCUUAACCGAGGAAGCGCAUCGGAAACUGGGAAACUUGAGUGCAGAAGAGGACAGUGGAACUCCAUGUGUAGCGGUGAAAUGCGUAGAUAUAUGGAAGAACACCAGUGGCGAAGGCGGCUGUCUGGUCUGUAACUGACGCUGAGGCUCGAAAGCAUGGGUAGCGAACAGGAUUAGAUACCCUGGUAGUCCAUGCCGUAAACGAUGAAUGCUAGGUGUUGGAGGGUUUCCGCCCUUCAGUGCCGCAGCUAACGCAUUAAGCAUUCCGCCUGGGGAGUACGACCGCAAGGUUGAAACUCAAAGGAAUUGACGGGGGCCCGCACAAGCGGUGGAGCAUGUGGUUUAAUUCGAAGCAACGCGAAGAACCUUACCAGGUCUUGACAUCUUUUGAUCACCUGAGAGAUCAGGUUUCCCCUUCGGGGGCAAAAUGACAGGUGGUGCAUGGUUGUCGUCAGCUCGUGUCGUGAGAUGUUGGGUUAAGUCCCGCAACGAGCGCAACCCUUAUGACUAGUUGCCAGCAUUUAGUUGGGCACUCUAGUAAGACUGCCGGUGACAAACCGGAGGAAGGUGGGGAUGACGUCAAAUCAUCAUGCCCCUUAUGACCUGGGCUACACACGUGCUACAAUGGAUGGUACAACGAGUUGCGAGACCGCGAGGUCAAGCUAAUCUCUUAAAGCCAUUCUCAGUUCGGACUGUAGGCUGCAACUCGCCUACACGAAGUCGGAAUCGCUAGUAAUCGCGGAUCAGCACGCCGCGGUGAAUACGUUCCCGGGCCUUGUACACACCGCCCGUCACACCAUGAGAGUUUGUAACACCCGAAGCCGGUGGCGUAACCCUUUUAGGGAGCGAGCCGUCUAAGGUGGGAC